ensembl:lncRNA
AUUUUUAGUUGAAAAAACUACCGCAGAAAUCUAAUUGAUUUUUCAAUCAGGAAGAAUAUCAAAACAAGAAAACUAUUCCGAGUUAUAUAUUCAAGAAGUCCGGCAGAAGGAACAAGUCGAAUCCAUUUGAGAAGUUCGGAAGAAGGAACAAGUGGAAUCGAUGAGAUCAAGGCUUGCCAAAAGGACAAGAAUCGAUGAUUUCCAGGAACCAAGAAGAACAGAGUCAGUGUGUGGGGGUGUUGGUGCAAAUGUGCUGUUGCGUGGAAGGUGCUAAUCACCCGUAAAAGACUGGGCUCCAAUUAAGGUCUGUUAGCCCCAGACCACCGUCCCUGCGUGCUGUCCUAGUGGACCCAGGGGGGCUGGAUACUUACCACUCCCCCAAGUGACCUCUUGUUAACACCGCAAGGUUGCCCAGGUCACCCGAGAAGAGUCUGCAGCAUAUCGAUCUCAUCUUGGGGCAUACUCUGGAUCAGAGCUGGAUCUUGUUGGGUUUGACCCCAACCGUCUCUAUGCCCAAAUCGGCAGAGUUCUGACAAACUCAGGGCUUAGGGUUCAGCUGGCGACUGGGUCGUCCUUCACCCAUCACCCCUGCCGAUUUUGGUGGGGCCUUCUCCGGCUAUGCCAGAGAUCAGGUCCUGCAGAACCCCCGAGAUAUCAGACAGAGUCCGAGUCUCUCCGGAGUCCCCAAGGACCUUUGCCCAAACCAGCCGAGUCCGAAGACCCAGGAAAAAAGGUCCGCCAUGAGCUAGUCGUCGCCUUCCAAUUUCCCCUGCUGAUUUUGUCGAGGUUCCAGCUGGCGGAUACAUGCCGAAACACGCACCAAGCUUCUACCAGCUUUCACCCCUAAGGUAAAUGCAAAACCAAACCGACAUCAUCCUUACCAAGGAUGACCGUUGGACGCAUAAACCCUAAGUAAAGAGUUGGCGAGCUAUGUCAACCCAUUUUUUGACACGUUAGUUCUCAUGAUGGUGAGGAACUAGAGUUUUUACCCAUAAUCCUUUGCGUGCGCACUUUUCCUCACCGUUGUUGAAACUGAAGUCUCUUUUUGGUAAGGUUUCCUGCCUCUCGUUAGUUUUGUUUAUCGAUACGUUGGUAUCGACCCACUGACGAAAGUCGCUGACGGGAUUCGCUUUGCGAUCAUCGACGGUAAAAGUCGAUUCGCGAACUUUCGAUAUCAAAAGUCGACGGUAAAAGUCGACUUUGAAAGUUCAUAUGCGAACGUCGACGACGAAAGUCGGUAGCGUUCAUCGACGACGAAAGUCGAUUCGCUUCUUCAACAUCGAUAGUCGACAUCGAUAGUCGAAAAGCGAACUUCGAUGACGAAAGUCGAUGCGUGUCCUCGACAUCGAUAGUCGACAUCGAACGUCGAGACGCGAACGUCGAUGGCGAACGUUGACGACGAACGUCGAGACGCGAACAUCGACGACGAAAGUCGAGACGUGAACGUCGACGACGAGAUGCAAACGUCAAACGUUGAGUUUUGAACGUCGAAAUUCGAGAUGCGAACGUUGACUUCGAAAGUCGAGUUGUGAACGUCGAACGUCACCCAUCACCCCUGCCGAUUUUGGUGGGGCCUUCUCCAGCUAAGCCAGAGAUCAGGUCCUGCAGAACCCCCGAGAUAUCAGACAGAGUCCGAGUCUCUCCGGAGUCCCCAAGGACCUUUGCCCAAACCAGCCGAGUCCGAAGACCCAGGAAAAAAGGUCCGCCACGAGCUAGUCGUCGCCUUCCAAUUUCCCCUGCUGAUUUUGCCCAAGGUGUCUCCGAAAACUCCAGGGGCCACGGACACCAGGUAGGCACGAAAUCAUUGUGACACCUCAGUGACCCGGAGACCCCCAAAGGGACCAGAGACACCCCAAAGGGUGAUCCUAACCCCCCGUUCACCAGUCUAAAUGAACAAUUUUUAAGAGGCUAGGUCGAGAUUCCAGCUGGCGGAUACAUGCCGAAACACACACCAAGCUUCUACCAGCUUUCACCCCUAAGGUAAAUGCAAAAACCAAACCGACGUUAUCCUUAACAAGGACGACCGUUGGGCGCAUAAACCCCAAGUAAAGAGUUUGCGAGCUAUGGGAUCCCAUGUUUUGGAACAUUAGUUCUCACAAUGGUAGUUUUUACCCAUAAUCCUUUGCGUGCGCACUUUUCCUAACCCUUGUUGAAACUGAAGUCUCUGUUUGGUAAGGUUUCAUGCUUCUUGUUAGUUUUUUUUAUCGAUACGUUGGUAUCGACCCACUGACGAAAGGGUUAGGGUUAGGGUUAGGUUAGGGAUUACAGACCCAGAAGCCAGAACAAAGUCCAACUCUGGUUAUGCACUGUCCUUCAACUUCAACUGACUGCUUCUCGCCCUGUUUAGAUUAGGCCUUCUUUCGAGCAUAGAAGUUCCCAUGAAAGGGAACAUCCCGGGUUACUUAUGUAACCAUGGUUCCCUGAGUAGGGAAUGAGACACUGCGUCCUCUAGGUUUCUUGCCAUGCUGCAGACGCAAGCUUCAGACGAAGACGUGAAUGAUGUGUGCUCCCGGCGCCUAUUUAUACUAUAGUUGCACUGGUAGUGACGUCAUGGCUGUCGCCGGCCAACGAGUUGGUGUUUUUUCAAUGUAUGCUUUAGACAUGAGUCACGACGAGGCGUUCCCCAUAGCGACCCCUAGAGGACGCAGUGUCUCGUUCCCUACUCAGGGAACCAUGGUUACAUAAGUAACCUGAGACGUUUAUCAUUAACACUUGUUUCUCUGGAUAAUGUUAUAUAAAGCACUAUUACUUCAAACGAGUUAUACUUGAAGCCCACCCUCUGAGAAAUACUGAAAAUAUUGUUAUAAAUUGUAGCAACACCUCCCCUUUGCCUUUUGGACACGGCUCACAUUUAUAACAGCAAUGUUGGGGGGUAGACUCAUUUAAAAUAAUGUAAUCAUCUGGUUUUAUCCAGGUUUCUGUCAAACAGAGCACAUCUAAGUUAUGAUCUGUGAUCAUAUCUUUUACAAAAAGUGCUUUUGUAUAAAGGGAUCUAAUAUUCAUUAAGCCAAGCUUUAUCAUUUGUUUAUCUGUAUUAUAUCUAUUUUUUUAUUUGUUGAACAUCAAUUAAAUUGUUACACUUAAAUUGUUUUGGACGUUUUUUGUAUUUGCUAGUUCGGAGAACAGACACAGUCUCUAUAGUAUGAUAUCUAGGUGAAAGAGUCUCUAUGUGCUGAGAAUUAACUGACUUCUGUGACGUGAGGCGGCUAGCAGACGGUCAGUUUAGCCAAUCUGUCUGCUUCCUGAACUGGGCCCUGUUGUGUUUGUUCAAAUAACACAAAUAAAAGUCGGGACAACGAUGGGCAGUUCUUCUUUUUGUUUUACUGUGCAAUAACCUAAUCACAAACUCUGUUAACACAGGUGUGGCAUCUGCGUAGGAUCAUGCAGGAGCGUUGGACUGUUUAUGGCUUAAAAGACCCUUUUAGCCUUUUGACAUUUGCAUAUAAAUUACAGUUCUGGUCAGAUGAUUUUCCAUGGUUGUGGUUAAGUGAUGUGAAAUACUGCCAUUCUUUUCUAUUCUCUAUCUUUUCCUUACUUUGUUUCAUUCUGUGUAUAUAUGUUUUAGUUAGUUAUAUGUUAGAUAUAGUUUCAUUUUAUUAAAUCUCUUAUAUUCACAACGAAUUGUCUCUGUUUACUGUUCACAGUUCCAAGUCAAUGAAUGUUUGAACCUUUGCUACAUUUGGCUAAGAAUUACUGCUAGCACUGUACAAAGAAGGACAGUUUAUUGUUCCGUGGCCA